UACGUAGGGGGCAAGCGUUGUCCGGAUUUACUGGGCGUAAAGAGCGUGUAGGCGGCCACGCAGGUCCGUUGUGAAAACUGGAGGCUCAACCUCCAGCUGUCGACGGAAACCGUAUGGCUAGAGUCCGGAAGAGGAGAGUGGAAUUCCUGGUGUAGCGGUGAAAUGCGCAGAUAUCAGGAAGAACACCAUAGCGGAAGGCAGCUCUCUGGGACGGUACUGACGCUGAGACGCGAAAGCGUGGGGAGCGAACAGG
rnacentral:rRNA from 1 species